AAAGGGAGACCUAAUUCAGGUAAAAGACGAAAAAAAAGUAGUCGCUACCAAGAAUCAAUCCCAAAAGGUCGGAGCGAGGCGAAAUUGGCCUUCAAACUAGGUUCUGGGUUCAAACAAGACCUGAAUCAGGAACAAGGGCUAUUAGCUCAGGUGGUUAGAGCGCACCCCUGAUAAGGGUGAGGUCCCUGGUUCGAGUCCAGGAUGGCCCACCUGCACAGGUGGCAAAAACAAGAGAAGCGAGGAAUCAGCACCUUAUCUUACUUAUAUAGUAAGAGAGAAUGCUGGCUCUGAGUAAAGAGUCCAGAGGAACCUUGAAAACUGCAUAGAGCUAGGUGAAAAAGCCAAAAAAGAAGACCGCAAG
rnacentral:tRNA from 1 species